AGUGAACGCUGGCGGUAGGCCUAACACAUGCAAGUCGAACGGCAGCACAGUAAGAGCUUGCUCUUACGGGUGGCGAGUGGCGGACGGGUGAGGAAUACAUCGGAAUCUACUUUUUCGUGGGGGAUAACGUAGGGAAACUUACGCUAAUACCGCAUACGACCUACGGGUGAAAGCAGGGGAUCUUCGGACCUUGCGCGAUUCAAUGAGCCGAUGUCGGAUUAGCUAGUUGGCGGGGUAAAGGCCCACCAAGGCGACGAUCCGUAGCUGGUCUGAGAGGAUGAUCAGCCACACUGGAACUGAGACACGGUCCAGACUCCUACGGGAGGCAGCAGUGGGGAAUAUUGGACAAUGGGCGCAAGCCUGAUCCAGCCAUACCGCGUGGGUGAAGAAGGCCUUCGGGUUGUAAAGCCCUUUUGUUGGGAAGGAAAAGCAGCAGGUUAAUACCCCGCUGUUCUGACGGUACCCAAAGAAUAAGCACCGGCUAACUUCGUG
rnacentral:rRNA from 1 species